UUCCUAAUUCAUGACUCCUCCAAUCUCAAAUCUGAACUCGGACAUUCCUUUCUGAUGUCCCAAGGUGUCGAUCCCUGCCAGGCCAGGAAUGCUGUGCAGCAACAUGCAGGAGCAAACUCAUCUUUGAGUCCAUUACCUGGGAGCGAUAUUUAGUUUUAUUUUGUUCCAUAACAAAAAAAAAAAACAGCUGCUCACAGACAUAGGUACUUCCAAACACGGAAAGAAUUUUUGCACAACGCUUUUCAGAUUUAGGGUAACCAUUCCCAAGAUAUCUGUAGAAUUCAGGGGUUCCAACAUCAUCAUAAUUAGUUUUCAGUAUAGUGUGGCACUGCAAUUCAAUAGUAGCUCUUCACUGACGUUAUUACUAUUAAUUGAGAAAGGUGAGCCGAACAAGAUUAGUUCAUUUUCAUCAAGUUUGAAAUCAGAGAACCUUUUUUGGGAUUCAGUCCUCAGCUCUUUAAUUCCUGGAAUGGAGUUCACGGCAUUACUUUCAUUUUCGGAAACUAAUCUCAGCGUAGGGAAGUGGGCCAAGUUGUUCCUUGCCAGAUGUGUUUCCCAAAGACACACGCUCGCUAGGAAAGAGCGAACGGCAUCGUGCAUUUUUGUAACCACGCGCGCACGCCCUUGCGGAGAAAUCUCCAGCACGUUUAGAUAAGUCCCAAUGUCAACCAACAAGGCUAGGUCUUUGACCCACUCUUUGCUAGUAAGCUGAGGCACAGGUUCUCCUUUAGAAGACGUGAAAAAGGCCAUUUCUCCCAUCAGUUCAAAAAACUGCCGUAGCAUGAUACCACGUCUCAGCCACUUAAGUUCCACGGAGCAGAACAGAGCCCUGGCACUUAACGUUUCAGUUUUGUGACAGUUGUUUCACACCGACCACUGCAGAAUCACCAUCUGUGCUAACGCUGGCUAAUUUUGACCACUCUACACUAAAUUUUUUAAGACCUUUCUCAACAUAU